rfam:Canis lupus familiaris chromosome 4, whole genome shotgun sequence.
GCCUGGCUGGCUCAGUUGGUAGAGCAUGUGACUCUUGAUCUCAGUGUCCUGAGUUCAAGUCCCACAUUGGGUG